AUUUUAAACAUGCAUAAGAAAAACAAUGGGUCUUAGGCUAUAUUUACAUGGAGUGGAAAACACAGUAGCCCAGAAAUUAGACUCCAGAGAAAUGAUGUUAGGAAAUCGAAACUGAAAUGGACCCCAGAGCAAUUGAAGAAAGAAAGAGUCAAG